GAUGAACGCUGGCGAGAUGCCUUACACAUGCAAGUCGUACGGGGAUUUUUAAUUCAAGUGGCGGACGGGUGAGUAACACGUAAGAAUUUGCCUUUAGGAGGGGGACAACAACUGGAAACGGUUGCUAAUACCCCAUAUGCUUUCGAGUGAAAUGGAUUUUUCCGCCUAAAGAGAAGCUUGCGGCUGAUUAGCUUGUUGGUGAGGUAAUGGCUCACCAAGGCGACGAUCAGUAUCUGGUUUGAGAGGAUGAUCAGACACACUGGAACUGAGACACGGUCCAGACUCCUACGGGAGGCAGCAGUGGGGAAUUUUCCGCAAUGGGCGAAAGCCUGACGGAGCAAUCUCGCGUGGGGGAUGACGGCCUAUGGGUUGUAAACCUCUUUUUUCAGGGAGGAACAAAAUGACGUGUACCUGAAGAAUAAGCAUCGGCUAACUCCGUG
rnacentral:rRNA from 1 species